rnacentral:rRNA from 1 species
UACGUAGGGUGCGAGCGUUAAUCGGAAUUACUGGGCGUAAAGCGUGCGCAGGCGGUUUUGUAAGCCAGGUGUGAAAUCCCCGGGCUCAACCUGGGAAUGGCAUUUGGGACUGCAAGGCUGGAGUGCGGCAGAGGAGACUGGAAUUCCUGGUGUAGCAGUGAAAUGCGUAGAUAUCAGGAGGAAUACCGAUGGCGAAGGCAGGUCUCUGGGCUGACACUGACGCUCAUGCACGAAAGCGUGGGGAGCGAACAGG